rnacentral:rRNA from 1 species
GAUGAACGCUGACAGAAUGCUUAACGCAUGCAAGUCGAUGGGGAAGUGGUGCUUGCACCAUGGCAACCAUGGCGGACGGGUGAGUAACGCGUAAGGGACUUACCUGCAGGACUGGGAUAACAGGGGGAAACUCCUGACAAGACCGGAUAAUGUCAUGGAGCUGCAUGGCUUUAUGAUGAAAGGAGACGCCUGCGGAGAGCCUUGCGUCCUAUUAGCUAGUUGGUGAGGUAAUGGCUCACCAAGGCGAAGAUAGGUAGCCGGCCUGAGAGGGUGGACGGCCACAAGGGGACUGAGAUACGGCCCUUACUCCUACGGGAGGCAGCAGUGGGGAAUAUUGGACAAUGGGGGCAACCCUGAUCAAGCAAUUCUGUGUGCACGAAGAAGGUUUUCGGAUUGUAAAGUGCUUUCAGCAGGGAAGAAGUAAGUGACGGUACCUGCAGAAGAAGCGACGGCUAAAUACGUG